rnacentral:rRNA from 1 species
UUCGGAAUUACUGGGCGUAAAGGGUGCGUAGGCGGACCCGCAAGUGCUUCGUGAAAUCCCACGGCUCAACCGUGGAAUCGCUUGGCAGACUGCGGGUCUUGAGGUCGGUAGGGGCCGCCGGAACUCUAGGUGGAGCGGUGAAAUGCGUAGAUAUCUAGAGGAAAGCCGAAGGUGAAGACAGGCGGCUGGGCCGAUUCUGACGCUGAGGCACGAAAGCGUGGGGAGCGAGCGGG